UACGUAGGGGGCAAGCGUUAUCCGGAAUCAUUGGGCGUAAAGCGCGUGUAGGCGGUUCUGUAAGUCCGCUCUGAAAGCCCAGGGCUCAACCCUGGGAGGCGGGUGGAUACUACAGAACUGGAGUACGGAAGAGGAGAUUGGAAUUCCUGGUGUAGCGGUGAAAUGCGCAGAUAUCAGGAGAACACCAGCGGCGAAGGCAGCAGCUCUGGGCCGGUACUGACGCUGAGGAAGCGAAAGGCGUGGGGGAGCAAACAAGG
rnacentral:rRNA from 1 species